UGAGACGGAAACUCAUCAAAUUUCUUGGAAACUGUCAAGAGGAAAAAUUUUCUAAUAGCAUGUAUAAGAAGAGAUGUUUUUUAAUGUAGUGGGACCCAGGAUGGAUGUAGGACAAGUUCAUGGCCAUUCUGAGUAAAGAUUACAUUUCCUAACCUUCUUUGUACUCAGAUGUAUUUGUAUGGCAUUGCCCAAUCUUUUGAACUCUCAAGACUUCCUUACUCAUGUUUUCAAGGUCAUUAUGAUACAUCACAUGAAGUAUUAUGGACCAUUAUACAUGAACACAUUUCUAAAUGAAUAAGUUCCAAAAAUAUGUUUCAAGAACAGAAACCCAUAACCAGAGUAAAUUGAAUUCAUAUAACUACUGCUUCAAAUUUAAAAAAAUAUCCAAAGUAACUGUUUACACAGAAAAGAAGAAGAUGCUAAUGGAAUAAACUUCUGCUUGUCUCCUAUUCUGCCUCCGAGGCUUGACAUUUUAUAUAAGCCCAAGGGAGUAUAAUUUAUGAAGCUUAAUCUUAAUGUAUAUAUAUCUUAAUAUUACUGAUGUAUUUUGGAUAUUUAAACAAAAUGGUAAAUUUGAAUUUUUGUGCAAGUUCAUGAAAAGUAGUUCUAGAAGUUCUUGCUUAGCAAUGUCUCAUACAUUGAUCUAUCUGUGAUGGACAAGAAAACGUGCUAUAUGCUAUACAUAUAUUCUGAUGCUUUAGUGCUUUCCAAGUAGAUGACUUGUUUGGAAACAAAAAAUUUUCAAGAUUCUGGAGAUGCACUUUCUAGUCGAUUGUUUAGGACAAUACUUCACACAUGCAGCAAGGACUCUAGGACCUUAGGCCUUAGUAUGUGUAAGUACACAUCAAAUUCCCACCUAACUUUUGAUUUCUGUGGCUUAUAAUAGGAAUGGGACAUUAGAUGAAUUUAUUUAGUUUUUCUUUWAAAAAAAAGAAAUAUGAUGUUGUUUCAGCAAGGAGUACCAAAAAUGGCACAAAGUCUCAUAAAACUCAUCUGAGCAUGUUACUACAGGGUACUCUAAGCUGCUUAGCACUUGAUACAAAGUGAGCCUGUACAUGUGAACUGUGUGGAAACCCAUUCCUGUUAAGUCCUGUAGGUGUUGAAUUUUAAGUGCUCUACUACUGAGCUAUACCCCCAACCCACAAAUGCUGAAUUUUCAACAACAUAUAAAUUACCUAAGUCUUAUUUGAGAGUCUAUAGAAGUUCAUUUAUUGUUUAGAGUUCUAUUUUAUGGUCUUUAGUAUACAUAACAAAAGUUCUUAAUAAUUAGAUUUUGAAAGUCUUUGAAACUCACAAUAAUUCAAGAUAACUACUUCUGACUCUCUUUUAUGGAUAGGAUUAUUAUUUGGGUGAGAAAGAAGGAUCUUUAAAUUCCUUAUCAUCAUUAUUAUCAUUAUACUACAUUACACCACUAUUACUAUUGCUAUCUGCUACUACUAUUAUAAGUACCAUUAUGACCAUAGUCAUCUAUAUAUAAGUUAAUAGUUAAAAGUGCUUAGUUGUACCAUGGACUUGGUUAUAUCAAAAGUUGUUAGGUAUUUCAGAAUACCUAUAUCACAAAAAUGUACCCAUAAUACAAAAGUCAUACAAGUAUUCUGCUUUCUUUCUAAUGGGAUUCUAUUGUACUAAAAGCAAAAAUAUCAGAAAUAAUAUAAACUUACAUUUGAGUCUCCCCUAAGAUGGAAAUACUAUGUCAAGAAACAUCAUUUAAAAUUGUCAAAGGGUGAUUUGAAAAUCAUUAAUGAGCUCCUUUUUGCAAAUAUCAGUUAGAAAAUAAAAGAUGUGACAUUACUUUGAGUCUCAUCAUUUGAAAAUAUCUAACAUUUCUCUUCCUGAAAAUAACUCAGUGCAACACUAUUGGGAAUUUCCCUCCAUUAAGCCAGUAAUAUCAUAGCAUGGAUCCUCAGUUGAAAUGAAACCAGUAAGUA